AUUGAACGCUGGCGGAAUGCUUUACACAUGCAAGUCGAACGGCAGCACGGACUUCGGUCUGGUGGCGAGUGGCGAACGGGUGAGUAAUGUAUCGGAACGUGCCCAGUCGUGGGGGAUAACGUAGUGAAAAUUACGCUAAUACCGCAUACGAUCUAUGGAUGAAAGCGGGGGAUCGCAAGGCCUCGCGCGAUUGGAGCGGCCGAUAUCAGAUUAGGUAGUUGGUGGGGUAAAGGCCCACCAAGCCAACGAUCUGUAGCUGGUCUGAGAGGACGACCAGCCACACUGGAACUGAGACACGGUCCAGACUCCUACGGGAGGCAGCAGUGGGGAAUUUUGGACAAUGGGCGGAAGCCUGAUCCAGCCAUUCCGCGUGCAGGAUGGAGGCCCUCGGGUUGUAAACUGCUUUUGUACAGAACGAAAAGGUUUCUACUAAUACUAGGAGCUCAUGACGGUACUGUAAGAAUAAGCACCGGCUAACUACGUGCCAGCCGCCGCCGUAA
rnacentral:rRNA from 1 species